GGCCGCCGCGCGAUGUCCCUUUGCCUCCUGCUGGCUCAACUGUGAAUGGAAUCCUUUAGCAGUAAUCAUCACCUGGAAUAUCAUCAUGUAUGAGUGUGUACUGAUUGGAGAAUUAUGCAUCCCAGCAACACUCCCCUAGUUCUCUGCAGGGCCAUUGAGGACAGUCACAAGGGCCCUUUGCUUUUAAUGUGGGCCAUCUGCUUCCUCUCCAAAAUGCCUACCUUUUCAAAGCCCCCACAGCCUCGUGGGCAUCCUCGCACGGUUCUCCAGGCUGCACUACCUCCACGCGCUCUGCACAACAUCGCCACGGUUGACGGAACUUCAGACCCGACUGUAUUCUGACUGAUCAAAUGCAAUUAACCCCGAUGAAAGUUUCCCCAAAUCAAGUUUUAUCUGAAUACUUUUUGAGUUUCUGUUUGUGCGUGCCUCCGUCAGGCAUCAGUUCAACGCGAUACAGUCUGUUCGUCGAUAUGACAUGAGGCCGUUAUCAUAACCCCAGUUAUCAGACACAUCUGAUCUUUACACAAUGUGUCAGCUGCUGUUUUGGUGAGCAGUAAUUAAAUUAUUUUCUAACAAAGACACCAAACAUCAUGAUCUCCAGGUUCCCAGCGUUUCAGAAUGCGUUGGUUUCAGUAGAUCCUAGUGUUUUUUGGAUUAUAUAAGACAUUUGGUCAAUUCAUUCAUUGGUAAAUGAAGGAAAUCGCCAACGAGAUGAUCUGAUGCAACGUUGUAGGUAAAAUAUUAACAAGCAGCAACGCUUCAGUGUCGGCGCCCGCUUCAGUUUCAACAAGUCAUGAAACCUCCAACUCAAACAA